CUGCCUUGUGGUUCAGGACAACAUUGGGAAACCGAUGCUAAUACUGGAUAAGCCCUUACGGGGAAAGUUUUAAUGCCAUAAGAUGAGCCCGCAUUUGAUUAGUUAGUUGGUGAGGUAAUGGCUCACCAAGACAAUGAUCAAUAGCUGAUCUGAGAGGAUGAUCAGCCACACUGGGACUGAGACACGGCCCAGACUCCUACGGGAGGCAGCAGUGGGGAAUCUUGCACAAUGGAGGAAACUCUGAUGCAGCGAUGCCGCGUGGGUGAUGAAGGCCUUCGGGUUGUAAAGCCCUUUUGGCGGGGACGAUGAUGACGGUACCCGCAGAAGAAGCCCCGGCUAACUUCGUGCCAGCAGCCGCGGUAAUACGAAGGGGGCUAGCGUUGUUCGGAAUUACUGGGCGUAAAGGGCGCGUAGGCGGCCUUGAUAGUUGGGCGUGAAAGGCCUGGGCUUAACCCAGGAACUGCGUUCAAUACUGUAAGGCUAGAGUGUGGGAGAGGUUGGUGGAAUUCCCAGUGUAGAGGUGAAAUUCGUAGAUAUUGGGAAGAACACCAGUUGCGAAGGCGGCUUUCUGGGUCAACACUGACGCUGAGGCGCGAAAGUAUGGGUAGCAAAGAGGAUUAGAUACCCUCGUAGUCCAUACCAUAAACGAUGAUUGCUAGAUGUUGGAAAUUUAUUUUCAGUAUCGCAGCUAACGCAUUAAGCAAUCCGCCUGGGGAGUACGACCGCAAGGUUAAAACUCAAAUGAAUUGACGGGGACCCGCACAAGCGGUGGAGCAUGUGGUUUAAUUCGAAGAUACGCGCAGAACCUUACCAACCCUUGACAUGUCUGUCGCGAGUUUAGGAAACUAGACUUUUCGGUUCGGCCGGACAGAACACAGGUGCUGCAUGGCUGUCGUCAGCUCGUGUCGUGAGAUGUUGGGUUAAGUCCCGCAACGAGCGCAAACCCCUACUUUUAGUUGCCAUCAGGUCAUGCUGGGCACUCUGAAAGAACUGCCAGUGAUAAGCUGGAGGAAGGUGGGGAUGACGUCAAGUCCUCAUGGCCCUUACGGGUUGGGCUACACACGUGCUACAAUGGUAGUGACAAUGAGAUGCAAGGUGGCGACGCUAAG
rnacentral:rRNA from 1 species